rnacentral:tRNA from 1 species
GCCCAUGUGGCUCAGUAGGUAGAGCACUUCCAUGGUAAGGAAGGGGUCAUCGGUUCGAAUCCGGUCAUGGGCUCCA